UACGGAGGGUGCGAGCGUUGUCCGGAAUCAUUGGGCGUAAAGGGCGCGUAGGUGGCGGCUUAAGCGUGCGGUGAAAGCUCGGGGCUCAACCCCGAGUCGGCCGUGCGAACUGAGUCGCUUGAGCACUGUAGAGGCAGGCGGAAUUCCGGGUGUAGCGGUGGAAUGCGUAGAGAUCCGGAAGAACACCGGUGGCGAAGGCGGCCUGCUGGGCAGUAGCUGACACUGAGGCGCGACAGCGUGGGGAGCAAACGGG
rnacentral:rRNA from 1 species